rnacentral:rRNA from 1 species
UACGUAGGUGGCAAGCGUUGUCCGGAUUUACUGGGUGUAAAGGGCGUGUGGCCGGGCUUACAAGUCAGAUGUGAAAUCCGGGGGCUCAACCCCCGAACUGCAUUUGAAACUGUAGGUCUUGAGUAUCAGAGAGGCAGGCGGAAUUCCUAGUGUAGCGGUGAAAUGCGUAGAUAUUAGGAGGAACACCAGUGGCGAAGGCGGCCUGCUGGACGACAACUGACGGUGAGGCGCGAAAGCGUGGGGAGCAAACAGG